AGGCUAUGAUGCGGGUAAUGUCUUUUCAAGUCUUUGUAUCUCUCUUAGGCUUCAUAUAAAGUUUCAUCGUCUCUCGUGGUAAACGUUGCGAUGUUUUUUCUAAUCUU